UAUCAUUUAGGGAGCUGGUAUCAAGAGGAGUCACUCCUAUGGACAUGACAGCACUGACAUUCUGUGAGAAAAAUGCUAUUCCUGUUGUGGUUUUCAAUAUAUUGGAACCUGGGAACAUAUCAAAGGCUUUGUGUGGAGAACAAGUUGGAACACUAGUUGACCAAACUGGAGCAAUAAGCUAACAUUUAAUUCAACCAAAUUCAGUUAUAUUAGUUAGCAAGCUAGAGCCAUUAAGUUAAGCACUAUGAUGGAUGCCUCGAGAAGAAAAUAUAAAAAAAGACCCAACAGUUUCAGAGUACAUGGUGUAAUCAAUGAAAACUAUGUUUUGGAGCUGAAAUCUCAAGUUCUCUAUCCCUAGGAUUUGAAAUGGUGUUGUAUUUAAGUAUGUAUUUCUGUAGGAAAAAAAAAAGAAAAGAAAAGAAAAAAGAAUGCUUGUGUAUAUCAUUCCUAGAUGAAUAGUAGUAGUAGUAGUAGUAUAGUAGUAGUAGUAGUAAGCUUCCUUUGUUAAGAAAUAUAAAUAUAUUUGGAGUAAUUU